rnacentral:snRNA from 12 species
CCACUUACCUGGCAGAGUAGAGACCGUGGUGACGAAGGGGGUUCUCCCAGAGUGAAGGUUCUUCAUUGCACUCUAGAGUUGCUGAUCCCUGUGAUUUCCUCAAUGUGGGAAACGGUGUUUGUGCUAGAAGAGGGUUGCCCUCUU